rnacentral:misc_RNA from 1 species
GUUUCUCAUUGUUUCUCUUUGGUUUCAGUGGAAAUAAGCAUUUGGGGUGUGUUGUCGAUGCUGGCGAUCCGCAAGACACCACAGUGUCAGCAGACCGCCAAAAUACGUCAAACGUUCACAAGGGUGUGUGUCUGCUCCUCGAGUCCACGCCGUUCAGCGUGAAUUCAAGCAGCAGAGGUUUUUUGAUUCGUAAUGAUCCAACCGCAGGUUCACCUACGGUUA